UGGGGAAUUUUCCGCAAUGGGCGAAAGCCUGACGGAGCAAUGCCGCGUGGAGGUGGAAGGCCUACGGGUCGUCAACUUCUUUUCUCGGAGAAGAAACAAUGACGGUAUCUGAAGAAUAAGCAUCGGCUAACUCUGUGCAG
rnacentral:rRNA from 1 species